rnacentral:rRNA from 1 species
AGAGUUUGAUCCUGGCUCAGGACGAACGCUGGCGGCGUGCCUAACACAUGCAAGUCGAACGGGGUGAGGCCCUUCGGGACCUUACCUAGUGGCGAACGGGUGAGUAACGCGUGAGGAACCUGCCUUUCAGUGGGGGACAACAGUUGGAAACGACUGCUAAUACCGCAUGAAGCUUUUGGGAGACAUCUCCUGGAAGCCAAAGCUUAAUGUGCUGAAAGAUGGCCUCGCGUCUGAUUAGCUAGUUGGUGGGGUAACGGCCCACCAAGGCGACGAUCAGUAGCCGGUCUGAGAGGAUGAACGGCCACAUUGGGACUGAGAUACGGCCCAGACUCCUACGGGAGGCAGCAGUGGGGAAUAUUGGGCAAUGGGCGAAAGCCUGACCCAGCAACGCUGCGUGAAGGAAGAAGGCCUUCGGGUUGUAAACUUCUUUUACCAGGGACGAAGGACGUGACGGUACCUGGAGAAAAAGCAACGGCUAGCUACGUGCCAGCAGCCGCGGUAAUACGUAGGUUGCAAGCGUUGUCCGAAUUUACUGGGUGUAAAGGGCGUGUAGGCGGAGAUGCAAGUUAGGAGUGAAAUCUAUGGGCUCAACCCAUAAACUGCUUCUAAAACUGUAUCCCUUGAGUAUCGGAGAGGCAAGCGGAAUUCCUAGUGUAGCGGUGAAAUGCGUAGAUAUUAGGAGGAACACCAGUGGCGAAGGCGGCUUGCUGGACGACAACUGACGCUGAGGCGCGAAAGCGUGGGGAGCAAACAGGAUUAGAUACCCUGGUAGUCCACGCUGUAAACGAUGAAUACUAGGUGUGGGGGGACUGACCCCCUCCGUGCCGCAGUUAACACAAUAAGUAUUCCACCUGGGGAGUACGACCGCAAGGUUGAAACUCAAAGGAAUUGACGGGGGCCCGCACAAGCAGUGGAUUAUGUGGUUUAAUUCGACGCAACGCGAAGAACCUUACCAGGACUUGACAUCCAACUAACGAAGUAGAGAUACAUCAGGUGCCCUUCGGGGAAAGUUGAGACAGGUGGUGCAUGGUUGUCGUCGGCUCGUGUCGUGAGAUGUUGGGUUAAGUCCCGCAACGAGCGCAACCCCUAUUGUUAGUUGCUACGAAAGAGCACUCUAGCGAGACUGCCGUUGACAAAACGGAGGAAGGCGGGGACGACGUCAAAUCAUCAUGCCCCUUAUGUCCUGGGCUACACACGUAAUACAAUGGUGGCCAACAGAGGGAAGCGAAGCCGUGAGGCAGAGCAAAUCCCUAAAAGCCAUCUCAGUUCGGAUUGCAGGCUGCAACUCGCCUGCAUGAAGCUGGAAUUGCUAGUAAUCGCGGAUCAGCAUGCCGCGGUGAAUACGUUCCCGGGCCUUGUACACACCGCCCGUCACACCAUGAGAGUCGGGAACACCCGAAGUCCGUAGUCUAACCGCAGGGGGGGCGCGGCCGAAGGUGGGUCCGGUAAUUGGGGUGAAGUCGUAACAAGGUA